rnacentral:rRNA from 1 species
CUGUAUGUAGCGAGGUUAAGGCGUAGAGCGCCGGAGCCGCAGCGAGAGCGAGUCUCAAAUGGGCGAAGAGUUGCAUGCAGUAGACCCGAAACCGGGUGACCUAUCCAUGGACAGGAUGAAGCGACGGUAAGACGUCGUGGAGGUCCGAACCACACGUACGUAAAAAGUGCGGGGAUGAGCUGUGGAUAGCGGAGAAAUUCCAAUCGAACUCGGAGAUAGCUGGUUCUCCCCGAAAUAGCUUUAGGGCUAGCCUCGAUUUAGAUUAAUGGGGGUAGAGCACUGAAUGGGCUAGGGGGCCACAAAGCUUACUGAACCCUAUCAAACUACGAAUACCAUAUAAUUGAUGAUCGGGAGUCAGACAGUGAGAGAUAAGUUCCAUUGUCGAAAGGGAAACAGCCCAGAUCCACGACUAAGGUCCCAAAAUACACGUUAAGUGGAAAAGGAUGUGCAGUUGCACAGACAACCAGGAUGUUGGCUUAGAAGCAGCCACUCAUUCAAAGAGUGCGUAAUAGCUCACUGGUCGAGUGAAUGUGCGCCGAAAAUAUACCGGGGCUAAACGUGAUACCGAAGUCUGGGGAUCAAGAAAUUGAUCGGUAGGGGAGCAACGCAUACGGACAGAAGCAGAAGCGGGAGCGACUGUGGACUGUAUGGGAGAGAGAAUGCCGGCAUGAGUAGCGAGAGCAAAGUGAGAAUCUUUGCCGUCGAAAGCCUAAGGUUUCCUGAGGAAGGCUCGUCCACUCAGGGUAAGUCGGGACCUAAGCCGAGGACAAGAGUCGUAGGCGAUGGACAACAGGUUGAUAUUCCUGUACCGUACUUAAGCGCAAGACUGAAGCAGUGACACAGAAGGAUAGACAGACCGGGGGGAUGGUAGACUCCGGCCAAGCAGUGAGGCUGGUGCGUAGUGAAGUACGCGCACUAAGGCGAGGCUGUGAUGGGGACUGAAAACAAGUAAGGAAGCUGUUGAAUUCACACUGGCGAGAAAAGCUGCUAGGGAGCGAGAGUAUGCCCGUACCGCAAACCGACACAGGUAGGCGAGGAGAGAAUCCUAAGACGAGCGGGAGAACCCUUGUUAAGGAACUCGGCAAAAUGACUCCGUAACUUAGGGAGAAGGAGUGCCUCGAGAGAGGCCGCAGAGAAUAGGCCCAAGCGACUGUUUACCAAAAACACAGGUCUGUGCGAAGUAGAGAUACGACGUAUACGGGCUGACGCCUGCCCAGUGCCGGAAGGUUAAGGGGAAGUGUAAGGGCAACCGAAGCACGGAACUUAAGCCCCGGUGAAUGGCGGCCGUAACUAUAACGGUCCUAAGGUAGCGAAAUUCCUUGUCGGGUAAGUUCCGACCCGCACGAAUGGAGUAACGACUUGUGCACUGUCUCAACAAGGGACCCGGCGAAAUUGUAGUAUGUGUGAAGAUGCACAUUACCCGCGAUAGGACGGAAAGACCCCGUAGAGCUUUACUGUAGUUUAACAUUGGAUUUUGAUAACACAUGUACAGGAUAGGUGGGAGGCAGAGAGGCCGUCACGCCAGUGGCGGAGGAGCCGACGUUGGGAUACCACUCUUGUGUUAUUGGAGUUCUAACGAGAUGCCGUAAGCCGGGUUUCGGACAGUGUUAGAUGGGCAGUUUGACUGGGGCG